rnacentral:rRNA from 1 species
UACAGAGGGGGCAAGCGUUAUUCGGAAUUAUUGGGGCGUAAAGGGCGCGUAGGCGGCUUUGCAAGUGACGGGUGAAAGCCCUCGGCUUAACCGAGGAACUGCCUGUCAGACUGUGAGGCUUGAGACCGGGAGAGGUGAGUGGAAUUCCCAGUGUAGCGGUGAAAUGCGUAGAUAUUGGGGAGGAACACCAGUGGCGAAGGCGGCUCACUGGACCGGAACUGACGCUGAGGCGCGAAAGCGUGGGGAGCAAACAGG